rnacentral:rRNA from 1 species
AUUCCAGCUCCAAUAGCGUAUAUUAAAGUUGUUGCAGUUAAAAAGCUCGUAGUUGGAUUUCUGGGAGGGUGCCGAUGUCCACUUAACGUGUGCGCAGCGGCGCCCUCUCAUCCUUCUGUUAGCGUCUCUUGGCAUUCAUUUGCUGGUGGCGGGCUCAGAUAUUUUACCUUGAGAAAAUUAGAGUGUUUCAGGCAGGCUAGGCCGGAAUACAUUAGCAUGGAAUAAUGGAAUAGGACUACGGUCUCUUUGUUGGUUUGAGGGACUGCAGUAAUGAUUAAUAGGGAUAGUUGGGGGCAUUAGUACUUAACUGUCAGAGGUGGAAUUCUCAGAUUUGUUAAAGACUGACUUAUGCGAAAGCAUUUGCCAAGGAUGUUUUCAUCA